rnacentral:tRNA from 1 species
GCUCAUCCCUUCUUAGAGUU